AAUUGUCUACAAACCCAAAAUAGAUUUCAAAAAUAUCUACCAAAAAACUACAGAGCUACUAAAGAUCCGACGUUACUUUAUUUUGAGUUCUUGAAUCUUCUUCUUGGACUCAUGCCGGUUCUGCAAAUGCCUACAAAAGAAGAAGCCAAAUGUGUCUCUGAAGCUUCAGAGACUUCUUCCUCCAAAGUAGCUUGCUUAAUCAGGUUUCUUAAAAUAGUUACUGUAUCUUGCUCUCGAGAUGCAAAAGGAUUCGCCGGAGGAUCCAUGACUGGGUUUUGUUUUCCGAUCUCCUCCUCUUUCAGAAAUUGAAAAGGUUAAGGAGCUAAAGAGUCUUUUUGUUUACUAAUUAACCAUAAUUAAUAUGCUCCGUCAUCAAAAACAGAGCAGCUAAAAACACUUCAUUAGAGGCCCAUAUGUAUAUGGGCCGGAGUUUAAUACGGCCCAAAUCAGUAUAACCGAGUUCAAUAACCGGUAAGAAUUAAAAUAUUUUACAUUAUUCACCCAAAUCUUUACAUUAAUCACAACAAACUCCAACAUCUAUUCGACUCUUUCAAAUUCACACUCUUCCUCCUCUUCGAAAUCUCCGAGUACAAAAUCGAUCAAUCUCUCGGAAAAUGAUCGUGUAUUCUCUCUCUCAGCCUCACUGCUUCCUAAUGAAUCUCUCUAUUUCUCCUCAUUACGGUUGCUGCUACUGCGGAGUUUGGUGGGGAGGUAUUAGAGACGGAGCUUUGGUGCGUGGCGAAGAACAACGUUGAGGAUUCAACACUUUAAACGGCCAUUGACUGGGCUUGUGGUCCCAGAGGAGCUGAUUGCGUCUAGAUUCAGCAAGAUGAAGCUUGCAACUUUAGUAACAACGCAGCUGUUACUUCUCUCAAUCCUAGUCAAGGAACAUGCAAGUUUCCUUCAAGUAAGGGAGUGAGCAAUGGAAGUAUCGCAGAUGCCACUUCAAUGCAGGGAGCAACUGCACCAGAAUUCUCAGAUUGAGCCGAGCAAGGCGGAUGUUUAGCAGCUGGUUGUCACCCUUCGUCAUUUUAGGCCACAUUGUGACAAUGACACUGAUUAUCCAACAGGUUUAGCUUCCGAUUGGUGAUUGAAGGUAACCCUUUUAUGAUCUCUCUUCUCCCUCAGUUUUAUGUAACUAAAAUGGUUCUGCAUCUUUUAUGGAGCCCUGAUAUGUACUGUCUACCACUGUGAAUAGUUAACUUGAAUGGCAUGAACUGCACC
rnacentral:lncRNA from 1 species